GACGAACGCUGGCGGCGUGCUUAACACAUGCAAGUCGAACGGAAAGGCCCUGCUUUUGUGGGGUGCUCGAGUGGCGAACGGGUGAGUAACACGUAAGUAACCUGCCCUUGACUUUGGGAUAACUUCAGGAAACUGGGGCUAAUACCGGAUAGGAGCUCCUGCUGCAGGGUGGGGGUUGGAAAGUUUCGGCGGUUGGGGAUGGACUCGCGGCUUAUCAGCUUGUUGGUGGGGUAGUGGCUUACCAAGGCUUUGACGGGUAGCCGGCCUGAGAGGGUGACCGGCGACAUUGGGACUGAGAUAGGGCGCAGACUCCUACGGGAGGCAGCAGGGGGGAAUCUUGUACAAUGGGCGGAAGCGUGAUGAAGAAACGCCGCGGUCGGGAUGACGGCCUUCGGGUUGUAAACCGCUUUCGCCUGUGACGAAGCGUGAGUGACGGUAAUGGGUAAAGAAGCACCGGCUAACUACGUG
rnacentral:rRNA from 1 species